rnacentral:rRNA from 1 species
UGGGGAAGUAUUGCGCAAUGGGCGGGAAGCCUGACGCAGCGACGCCGCGUGGGGGAUGACGGCCUUCGGGUUGUAAACCUCUUUCAGCAGGGACGAAGCCGCGAGGUGACGGUACCUGCAGAAGAAGCACCGGCCAACUACGUGCCAGCAGCCGCGGUAAUACGUAGGUGCAAGCGUUGUCCGGAAUUAUUGGGCGUAAAGAGCUCGUAGGCGGUCUGUCGCGUCGGCUGUGAAAACCCGGAGCUCAACUCCGAGCUUGCAGCGAUACGGGCAGGCUGGAGUGCGGCAGGGAGACUGGAAUUCCUGGUGUAGCGGUGAAAUGCGCAGAUAUCAGGAGGAACACCGGUUGGCGAAGGCGGGUCUCUGGGCCGAUACUGACACUGA